GCGGUCAAGUACUUUCCUUCUUCUUCAGAUAGAUAGACGACUGAGAUUGAUAGAUGCCAUCAGUUCUCGUCAGACAUUCUCAACUUUAAAUACGGUAAAAAAAAAACUACUAGAUCAGUAAAAAAUAAUAGAAAAUUACUGCGAGUGACGGCCAAAACCAACAAAAAGAAAAACGCGGCUGCUGUAUUCACCAAAAAACCAGAGCGACAAACAACCAACAAACACACAGAGAGAAAGAGAGAGAGAGAGAGAGAGAAAGAGAGAGAGGCUUUGAAUGGUAUUCGAUUUCCAGGUAUAGAGAGAGAUCGAUCGCACCAACCCACAAGGCCCAAUUCCCCCUGACAAAAAUACCUUGAGCUCCGAAUACCCUCUUCCUUUUCCAUUCCUGGUCUUCGAUCGAAUCUGUUCUAAGUCUGCUGUGAUUCCUGUUGUUUCCUCAUAGGAACGAACAAUAGCAGAAACCCGACUUUAUUUUUUUUAAUUUUUGGUUUACUUUGUUUUUUCGCUUUUCGGGAUCGCUUGGAUCCUUUGUUUCGAUUUGGUGGCGGGGGGGAGAGGGUUUCAGGUAUUUUCUGUGUGUGAUUGUGUUUGGGUGAAUUUGAUGCUAUCUAUUGGAAGGAGAGAUGCGAGAAAGGAGUUAG
rnacentral:lncRNA from 1 species